rnacentral:lncRNA from 1 species
GCUCAAUCUCCUUAUUUUCUCCAACAACUUCUCAAAUGCAGUUUGCUAUCAUACCAUCUAUUUUUUCCUGGAGCAUCAUCUCCUGAGCCUUUAAUCUUUCUGUUCUAUGGGCUGUUUACUGUCUAGGUCUGCUACACAGCUGUUGUCCCGAGACUUUCCCUCACCACUAGCCUGGGAAUUCCCUUCCCCUCUCUCUUGUGUUGGAUACUGUCCUCCUCGGACUUCGUACUUCCUCUUUUCUUGUUUGGUGGAACAUAUUGCCUGAUAGCUUCUUGGGACAUAAUACAUUGGAGUAUCUGUCUGAGGAUUGAUGUAAACAGUGAAGGGUGGACAAUUAAAUAGCCGAUGAUGCUGGCUCCUACGUUAAAGACAAUUUGGUAGACGUGGCACUACUUUACUUCCAAGAUGUGUCAGAGGGCCAAGCAGCUUCCACCUGUUUCUCUUGGGAUGAUCGCUCUGGAGGAAGACAGCUGCCGUGCUGGAGAGACUAUUGGAGACACUCCAUGCUAGCCCAGCUCCCAGCCGACAGCCGGCACCAGCUGCCAGCCUGUGAGGCAGCCAUCGUGGACAGUCAGCCUGAUCGUCUCACAGGACUGAAGCCCCAGCUGACAACUGAAUUCAACCAAGCUAAAGACCCCAAGCAAGAACUGCUCAUUUGAGAUCUUCUCCAAGUUCUGACCCACAAAAUCACAAGUAAAUUAAAUUGGUGGUUUUAAGCUGCUAAUAUUAGGGAUAAUUCGUUAUGUAGAAAUAGUAACCCAAACAUUGAUCGAGAACAAAAAGAGAAAAUAUCAAUUUUCAAUAUCAGCAUUGAAGGAGAGGACCCACUACAGAUAUUACAUGCCUUAAAAAGGAAAAUAAAGCAACAUUAAGAACAACUUCAUGGGGCCGGCCUGGUGGCACAGCCAUUAAGUGCACAUGAUCCACUUGGGUGGCCUGAGGUUCGCCAGUUCGGAUCCCAGGUGUGGACACAGCACCACUCAGCAAGCCAUGCUGUAGCAGGCGUCCCCCAUAUAAAGUAGAGGAAGAUGGGCAUGGAUGUUA